rnacentral:rRNA from 1 species
UACGUAGGGUGCAAGCGUUGUCCGGAAUUAUUGGGCGUAAAGAGCUCGUAGGCGGUCUGUUGCGUCCGCUGUGAAAACUCGGGGCUUAACCCCGAGCCUGCAGUGGAUACGGGCAGACUAGAGGUAGGUAGGGGGAGAAUGAAUUCCCGGUGUAGCGGUGAAAUGCGCAGAUAUCGGGAGGAACACCGGUGGCGAAGGCGGUUCUCUGGGC